rnacentral:rRNA from 1 species
AGGACGAACGUUGGCGGUGCGCNUAAUGCAUGCAAGUCGAACGGGCGAAGGGACUUCGGUCCCCUAGCUAGUGGCAGACGGCUGAGUAACACGUAAAUGAUCUGCCCCGAAGUGAGGGACAACCCCGAGAAAUCGGGCCUAAUACCUCGUAAGUUCAUUGGAUCACGGUCCAGUGAAGAAAGGUUUCGGCCACUUUGGGAGGAGUUUGCGGCCUAUCAGGUAGUUGGUGGGGUAAUAGCCUACCAAGCCGAAGACGGGUAACCGGUGUGAGAGCACGAUCGGUCAGAGGGGGACUGAGAUACGGCCCCCACUCCUACGGGAGGCAGCAGCAGGGAAUCUUGCACAAUGGACGAAAGUCUGAUGCAGCGACACCGCGUGAGGGAAGAAGGCCUUCGGGUUGUAAACCUCUUUUAUCAGGGAAGAGUAAGGACUGUACCUGACGAAUAAGGACCGGCUAACUACGUGCCAGCAGCCGCGGUAAUACGUAGGGUUCAAACGUUGUCCGGAAUUACUGGGCGUAAAGAGCGCGUAGGCGGUCUGUUAAGUCUCAUGUGAAAUCUCCCGGCUCAACUGGGAGGGGUCAUGGGAAACUGGCAGGCUUGAGGGUAGCAGAGGAAAGCGGAAUUCCCGGAGUAGUGGUGAAAUGCGUAGAUACCGGGAGGAACACCAGAGGCGAAGGCGGCUUUCUGGGCUAUUCCUGACGCUGAGGCGCGAAAGCGUGGGGAGCAAACCGGAUUAGAUACCCGGGUAGUCCACGCCCUAAACGAUGGAUACUAGAUAUGGGGGGUAUCGACCCCUCCCGUGUCGCAGCUAACGCAUUAAGUAUCCCGCCUGAGGAGUACGGNCGCAAGGCUAAAACUCAAAGGAAUUGACGGGGACCCGCACAAGCAGCGGAGCGUGUGGUUUAAUUC